UGUUAAAAAUUUCAUUUAUUUAUACUGUUAAAAAUUGUAGUUAACAAAAUAACCAAACAGUUAUACGUGAUGUGUUGUGUGUACCUCAUGCUAAUGUACAGAGACUAGUUUUUAACAGUAGAAAUGGAUGAAAUUUUUAACA
rfam:Gossypium raimondii Chr13_contig_1337, whole genome shotgun sequence.